rnacentral:tRNA from 1 species
GCCUCCUUAGCUCAAUUGGAUAGAGUACCGGUCUUCGAAGCCGUGGGUUGUUGGUUCGAUUCCAGCAGGGGGCACCA